rnacentral:rRNA from 1 species
UUUUAGUUAUAUCGCAACAACACCUAAUUAUUAAAAGCUAUAAUCUCUAAAUUUAAAGGAUUUGGCGGUAAUCUAGUCCAGUUAGAGGAACCUGUUUGAGAAACGAUACACCACGCAACAUCUUACCUAACCUAAAAGUUUGUAUACCGUCAUUCUCAGAUAACUCUAAAAAGAUAAAGUUAUUUUUAUAGGUAUCUUUCCUAAUAUAUUAGAUCAAGGUGCAGCCUAUGGAUAGGAUAUAAUGGGUUACAAUAAAAUCUUAUAUUAUUACGAACAGAGAGCAAAAAUGCUUUCUCGAAGGAGGAUUUAAUAGUAAAUUUAGUUUAAUAAGCUAACUUGAUAUUGGAUCUAGAUUGAGUACAUAUCGCCCGUCGCUUUCAUUUCCAAAUGAAAUAAGUCGUAACAUAG